UACGGAGGGUGCAAGCGUUACUCGGAAUUACUGGGCGUAAAGCGUGCGUAGGCGGUUCGUUAAGUCUGUUGUGAAAGCCCCGGGCUCAACCUGGGAAUGGCAAUGGAUACUGGCGAGCUAGAGUGUGUCAGAGGAUGGUGGAAUUCCCGGUGUAGCGGUGAAAUGCGCAGAUAUCGGGAAGAACACCAGUGGCGAAAGCGCUCUACUGGGCCAUAACUGACACUGAGGGACGAAAGCUAGGGGAGCGAAAGGG
rnacentral:rRNA from 1 species